ensembl:lncRNA
UACUCAUUAAGCCAUCGCUCCCCAGUCUCCCCUCUGCCCAGCCCCUGGCCACCACCCAGGCUGUUUUCUGUUUCUUGGAUUUACCUAUACUGGUUCAGAUACAUGGAUUCAAACAACAUGUGACCUUGUAUGACUGACUUCUUGCACUCAGCGUAAUGUUCAUCCAUGUUGCUGCAUGAAUCAGUAUUCCAUUCUUUUCUUAUGACUGAACAACAUUCCGUUGGAUGGAUACACCUCAUCUUGUUUAUUCAUCAUUCAACCAUUCUCAUUGUUGGUGGAUGUUUGGGGUGUUUCCUCCAUUGGACCCGUUUUGAGGCAAAAGUCACUAAUAAGCUGAGGUCCCGCCAUCAUCACUCAAACCUUAGAGUGAGUAGCACUUCAAGCAAGUUCCCCCAUGAAGUCACAGUCCCUCUAUGAAGUCCUUUCCUGCCCAGGCAGCUGCUAUGGUGGCCGCAGUGGCAUGCUGGAGCGGCUGCUGGGCAGCAUGCCCUGCAGAGCAGCUGAGUCGCUUGGCCUCCAUUCAGAUCCCCUGACCCAGGGAAGAGGGAAAGAGGAUGGGAAGAGAAGGGAAAGUGGAGGAAAGCAAGCUGAGCAUGAGUUCCCACGGAGGCCUCUGGAAGCUCCUGGCCCGUGAGUAAAGUCCACCGUGUAGGAAGCCUAGCUGUGUCUGAGUCUCACUGGAGCCCAACUGACCACCAUCAGCUGGACGGGACUUGUCCGAGUGGGGAAACUGAGCCCCAGGGAGUGGCAGUGGCUUGAAGAACCUGGAGCCAAACCAGAGAUCAAAGCUGGAUGAUUCCCAGCCUUGGCGGGCUCUGCCCUCCUGACAUCAGCAUGGGGCCUGGUGCAGGCUUAGAGGGGCUGCCCCAUCUCUCCGGUGGGCCUGUUCCUCAACUGGAAGCAGAGGUCUCUGGGACAAGAAGAAGAUCUGGCAUAAAUACCAGAAACUGGGCCUUACUCCUAGCCUGGCUGGCUCCGAGUGACACGUCACUGGGUACGUUUCUCUACCCCUGGAAAGCUCGGUUUCUUCAUCUGCAAAAUGAGAAUGAAAAAUGUUUAUUCCAAACUUCUCAGAUGGAGUGAAACUCUGAGAAAUUGCUUUGUAAGCUGAAGAAAUAUCAACACAAAAUAGACGUCAGAAAUUCAUACAAAUGGUCUAAGCUUUGUUGUUCCUCCCUCAUCCCCACCCCCUCACACUUCCUGUCAAGUCCAGGCAUCCUACACUCAUCAGGGAGGCUUGAGCAGUGGCCCUGGCUGCUUCCAGGGGAAGCUUAAUGGAGUUACACAGGAAGUGAGAUGGUGCUGCACGAUGGGCCAUCUCUGUCUUCUCAAUUCAGAACCCAGCAGGAAGUGAUUCUUACCAGCAACUGCCAUGGGCUGUCAGGGGCUGAGAAGUCACAGCCACGAUGGGGAGAACACCCACUGGGGAGAAGACACAGAGCCGCAGUAUCCUAACCCAGCCCCAGCCUGCCCCACCCUACUCGGGGCUGACACUUCGCAGAGAUCACUGGAAGGACAUUCACACUGGAAGAGAGCUUCUCUGUGCAAGGUAACAGCUGCUCUGAGCCAUCACAGGGAUGGGGGUCCUAGGCAAGAAGGGAGGAACUAGGUCCCUGUGGAGUGCUAUCAGAACAUGCAGUAAGCUCUUGAAGCCUUCUCAAAGAUGGGGACUCUGUACUUCUCAAAAUCCAUAAAGGCUGUAAUAAGUUCGGUGGGCACAGGACCGCAGCUGGAGCCACUUGCUACUUUGCAUCUCUCUCAGGUAACAAUCCUCAGGGCAGCCGUGUGGGCUCAGGGCAGCAGCCCUGUGUCUUCGGGUGACAGGCUCUCCACAGCUUCUCUGCCCUCAUCUUCAUGGUCCAAACUGGCCCACUGAUGUGUCUGCAUUCCAGACAGCGGGAUCCUGUGGCACAGCCUGCAGUCUCGAUCACAAAAGGCAAGGAAAGGAGCCCUUACACUGCUCAUUCUCUGUUGUCGCCCCUUCCACGUUUUUCUUUCCUUGUCUCUUGGCUCUGUGCUGGGGUGACCUCAUCCCUGCAGACUGAGUCCUCCUGGCUCUUCAGCCUCUGGCUUCUGGUUGGGU